rnacentral:misc_RNA from 1 species
CGCACCUUGCGCUCCUUGGCAUUCCGAGGAGCAUGCCUGUUUGAGUGUCACGUGAAACCCUCACCCUUGCAAUGCUAAUAACAUUGCCAGUGGUGGAUUUGGACCGUGCCGUCGUUGGCUCGUCCUGAAAUGCAUGAUGAGAACGCACGUCUAGAUGGCAACCUCCUGGUGUGAUAAUUAUCUACACCGAUGCAGAAGGAUAAAUGCUACGGCAGCCCUCACAGUCGUCUUCGGACAACUUUUUUCAUUAACGCUCUGGCCUCAAAUCAGGCAGGACUACCCGCUGAACUUAA